GACGAACGCUGGCGGCGUGCUUAACACAUGCAAGUCGAACGGGGAGGUCCUGCCUUGGUGGGCUGCUCGAGGGGCGAACGGGUGAGUAACACGUGAGUUACCUGCCCUUGACUUUGGGGUAACUUCAGGAAACUUGGGCUAAUACCGGAUAGGAUCUCCUGCUGCUGGGUGGGGGUUGGAAAGUUUCGGCGGUUGGGGAUGGACUCGCGGCUUAUCAGCUUGUUGGUGGGGUAGUGGCUUACCAAGGCUUUGACGGGUAGCCGACCUGCGAGGGUAACAGGCCAAGUUGCGCUUGAGCUAAGGCACAGCCCACACCGGGAGGCAGGAGUGCGGAAUAUUGCACAAUGCGCGGAAGGAUGAUGUAGCCAAGCCGCGCGCGGGAUGACGGCCUUCGGGUUGUAAACCAAUUUCGCCUGUGCCGAAGCGUGAGUGACGGUACUGGGUAAAGAAGCACCGGCUAACUACGUG
rnacentral:rRNA from 1 species